rnacentral:misc_RNA from 1 species
GAGUUAGGGUCUUUUCAGGCCCGACCUCCAACCCUAUGUCUACCUACCUUUGUUGCUUUGGCGGGCCCGCUGGGGUGACCCACCGGCGGCCUUUGGCUCCGAGUGCCCGUCAGAGACCCAUCCAAACCUCUUAACUGUGUCGUCUGAGUACCAACAUAAUAAUAAUUAAAACUUUCAACAACGGAUCUCUUGGUUCU